GAGUCAUACGAUCUUGCGUUAUGUGCUUUUGUGGUGUCUGCAAAGGAAUUCAGGUUUGCGAUUGGACCUAACUUUUUGCAUUUAACUGUAAAUAGAAACAAAAAAAUUUAUCAUUUACCUUACUACUCUCACCUAACUUUUUCAAGUAGGUUAAACAACUUUUACCUUAAGUAACAUGAAGGUGAUUUGCCAACAUGAAGACUGCAGACGGCAAGGUUUCCAAGAGUUUAUGGGUCUUUAGCAUCUUACAAUGACCACAAACUAAUUUAACACUUGCACAUAUACAGAAGAAGCUAAGAACGCAGUGCAGUGUGAGAAAUCAAGAAACAUUGAUCUAGAAGGAUUUCGAUAAUUUUGUUGAAAACUGUAAGUACUAUGGAUGCUACAGUUAAAUUGAACUGCAUAAGCAAGGGUUUCAACUCUCAAGACACUCAAUUGGAAAGGACUUAGCUGGCAGCAUAUUUGCAUGUGCUUUAAUGAUCUUUACACGUUCGGCAUCGAAAAGCUUUCUCUGUCACUGAAACACUGUGUAAAAUUACAAGAUCUUCACUGAAUGCGAGGCAUGGAAGACUUUUAAUGAUGGCUCUACUUUGCUGAAAUAGGAAUGAGCUUCCAAUGAAUAAAGGUCGGAUUAUGUGUUGGUCACAGCAGAGCAUGGCCAAUAACAAAUAUGAAGUGAAGGAUGACCAGUAACAAAUAUAAAAGGCCUAAUGAACACAUUCUUGAUUUUAUAAAAUAGAAUUACAAUUUUGAAGUGGAUAAUGAAGGAAGUAAUAAACCUUUUGAAAAUAGAAUUACCUGUAUUUUUUCCUGGGAUAAAAUCCUAUUAUGUCCUAAGCCAAAAAUAUUAUUUUUUACAGACCAUGUGAUGCAUGUGGCAGCUUUUACAAUUGUAAACUUAUCUUUGA